UGGGCAACCUGCCCCUCUCUCUGGGAUAACCCCCGGGAAACCGGAGCUAAUACCGGAUACUCCGGCUGGAUCGCAUGGUCCGGCCGGGAAAGGUCCGCCGGAGAGGGAUGGGCCCGCGGCCUAUCAGCUUGUUGGUGGGGUCAUGGCUCACCAAGGCGACGACGGGUAGCUGGUCUGAGAGGACGACCAGCCACACUGGAACUGAGACACGGUCCAGACUCCUACGGGAGCA
rnacentral:rRNA from 1 species